AAAAAAGCAGGGGCCUGUUGCCCUUUUGAACAGGUCUCUCGUAACCUUCAGGGAAAUCAAUUUCAUUGUUAUUGGGUGAACCUCCGUUUGUUUUUCUUUGUGGCUGAAGGUUCAGUAAAUGAUGGAACAUUU
rfam:Jatropha curcas cultivar GZQX0401 scaffold502_99, whole genome shotgun sequence.